ACUUUUUGACAUUCCAAAUCACAUUGUCGUCUUUUCAAUUAACAUAAUAUAUUGCCUACUUUGAAUUUCUAUAGCAGAUAUUAUGUCACACCAUUUGGUGAAGCUUUGGUAGAACGGUAGCACUACCAUUUCAAUUUUUAUUUUUGAAAUUCAAAAUCAUCAAAAUCUCUCUCUUUUGGAUUUUAAAUUUUCAUUUAAUUACAAUGAAUUCUCGCCUCAAAUCCAGUGCCAAGAAGUCUAAAUUUGGAUCUUUUCUCUCUCUUUGCUCACAUGGAGUUUCUCCAUUUGUUUCUUUUUCUUGCUGCACAACGUCCCAACCAUUUUGGGUAUUAAUUUGAAACAAAUCUUCUCAAAGUCUCAAGCAAAUCUGAAACAAAUCUGCUCAAAUCUCGCUCAUUAAAUGAUGAACGACUAUUUUACCGUUCGAAACCCCACGCUCUUAAUUUCAAACGUUAGAGGUAAAAAUCCCGCCCAUGAACCCUACUUCUUCACCUAUAAAUACUUGCAUUUGAAAUAUAUUGGAAAAAGAGCUUUUGGAGCCGUUGCACCUCUCUUUAAACCCACAAGCUUCGGACCCCUUCUUUAACCUUAAGCCCUAGAGCUGCCCACUUUCACCUUAAAGUCGAGAGUUUUCAGCCACCUCUGUUAAUGCAUUUCCUUUCCUCUAAUUAAAAAACAAAGUUCUCUAGCUCUCUUUGUAUUUUUAGCCAUUACAAUGGUUUAUUUGCUUAUUCUGGUAACUAACAAUCGUCUAAGGUAGGGAGUUCGAGGUCGGAGUUCGAUAUUGCAUCUAAGACCCUUCUCAGUUCGCUGUCCUGCAAAGGGUCCGUAUCUUCUCCUAUCACUCUCAUUUUGAUUCUGAUUUUUUGAUGUCUGAUGCGUGUUUGUUGCGAGGAUUGUAAGCUUCUAUUAAGCUUUUAUGUACAUGUUUGUUUAAGGGAAUAAUCUCUGACUAAAGUUGUUAGCAGUAAUCCUGUAAGGAGAUUAUGUUCUGGUGUGUAUUAUUAAAAGUAUGCCAGACAUAUAUUUGAUGAAUUGCUCACAUGAAAAUACUUAUUUCCUUUUGCAUACUUCUCUAUUAGAUUCCAUAAUUUUAAGAAGGAUUUUAUCAUGAGCUAGUUGCCCUGCAAAAGAUUUAUUUGCCAUUGUGAUUCAAGACCUUUUUCCUAAAUAUCGUGCUUAAAAUUUUAAAUAAUUUUAUUAAGAAUCAAUUUAUUUAAAUGCACACUGUUAAGUGAAGACUUGAUUUACUUUAGUAUUAGGUAUCCAAAAUUCAUUCUUUAGGAAACUUGUCACGACCCAGAUUUUCCCACCUUCGGGAGUCGUGAUGGCGCCUACUAACGAGAACUAGGCAAGUCAACCCUUUACUACCUUUGUCAUUAACAAAUUGCUUCUUUUAACAAUUAUCAGUGAUAGCAUAGAAACAACAAAAUUAAAUAAAUAAGCGGAAGACCUAAAUUAAAUAAGCUGAACAAUAAUGCGAAAGUCAACAUAUGCCUCUACCCAAGAACUGGUGUCACAUCACUCACGAACUACUAAGAGUACUAAAUACAACCGUUCGAAAGAAAUAUAACACUGUUUGUCUCGAAUACAUGGAGAUAACAGAAUGAAAUAUAAGAUAGAGGAGACGUCGGGCCUGCAGAGGCUUGCAAGGCUACCUCGGUGUCUCGGUGGACUGAAGGCUGGCUCCCGUGCUACUGCUGCUGUCCAAUACCUGGAUCUGUGCAAAAAAGCACAGAGUGUAGUAUCAGCACAACCGACCCCAUGUGCUGGCAAGUACCUAGACUAACCUCGGCGAAGUAGUGACGAGGCUAGGAUCAAACUACCAAAUAACCUGUGCAGUUCAAAUAUCUAUAUGUACAUCGGAAAAGAAAUACAUGAAAUAAUCAGUCAAUGUGGGAAGGGAAAAACAUGUUGUGGGGAGGUAACAAUUCCAAAUAGAAAACCUCAAUAAAAGAAAGAAACAACAAAGCCAGAAUAUCUACAAGAAUCAAAAUUCAAUGAUUUGCGCGGCAUCACCUUUCGUGUUUUUACUCUUGUCCUCACCCAAACAAUAUUUAUAAUAAAAAUGUGCACGACAUCACCCUUCGUGCUUUUACUCUCGUUCUCACCAAAUCAAUCGUAUCAUAAUAAUGUGCACGACAUCACCCUUCGUGCUUUUACUCUCUUUCCUCGCCACAUAGUCAAUAAAUAUCGGUACGGAAUGGUACAUCGUAUGGCACAACAUCACCCUUCGUGCUUUACACUCUUUCCACAUAAUAGCAAACAAUGCACGACAUCACCCUUCAUGCUUUAACACUCUUCCUCACCGAAACAACAAUAAAAAACAAAGGGGCAAGGGAGUAGACAAAUAAUGGUAGAAAUCCCGGCAAGGGAAUACAAUUAAAAAGCUAAAUCCAGACAAGGGAACUAUAUCAAUAAAUCUCAACAUCUCGGCAAGGGAGAUAAUCAACAAAGCAACAAACAUCCCAGCAAGGGAACAAUUCAAUAAUUUUCUCUUUCUUUCACUUCUUACUUUAUAACUCACUUUACCACUUGAGUCAAUGCUACAAAGGAUUCAAUUAUCUCAUAUACUUUCACAAUUCGUAUUAUAACUCGAGUCAAUGCUCCUCGAAGUUCAAAGAUCACAAUUUCUUUCACAUUAUUUUUACAACAUAUAGAAAUCAUCAUUUAGGGCAUGAAAGAUACAACAAAAAUCAGAAUAUCCGCAAUAUAAAGACCCACGGUCAUGCUAGACACCAACGUAUAGAUACUCGUCACCAUGCCUAUACGUCGUACUCGACAAUUAGAACGUAGAAAAUAAGACUCAACUCCUAAUCCCUCAAGCUAAGGUUAGACCAAACACUUAGCUCAAACUUCCACGGCCAAAUCAAUCCUCAAUUACCGCUUUUCCUCUCGAAUUUGGCUCCAAAUCGAUUGUAUCCACGAGUUAUUGGUGAAAAGAUGCUUCAAAAGUCGCCCUAGAACUUUGGAGAAGAAGGAGUUUGUGAAGUUUUUUGAAAAUCCCGUAAUGGUUUUGUUUUGGGGUUUUAAAAUAACUGGGCAAAAUUGCCUUCACGUUCGCGAUGGACAGCUCGCGUUCGCGAUGGUCCAGGUCUGAAGACCUUCGCGUUCGCGGAGAGUAAUCUCCUCGAGCCUCGCGCUCGGGUGCCAUGAGCCGCGUUCGCGUUGAAAAAAUUUGGUGGCCCUUCCCCCUGUACCCUACGCGUUUGCGAGAGAAGGGACGCAUUCGCGAAGGGUCUACCCCCCUCAGCUUUGCAUUCGCAUCACCAACUUCGCGUUUGCGGAGAAGAAAAUGAACUUCUGAGAAUUUUGCCUUACGCGUUCGCGAGUGAGUCCACGCGAACGCGAAGAACAAAUUCCCUGUGCACAACAUCAGAAAAUCUGCAACACCACUAAGGCCAAAAAUCACUCCGAAACACUCCCGAGCCCUCGGGGCUCCUAACCAAAUACACGUACUAACUCAACAACAUCAUACGAACUUAUCCAUACGAUCAAAUUGCGAAACUAACCUCAAAAAUAAUGAAUCAAACCUCAAAAUUAAGAGUUUUUCCAAAAACUUCAUCAAGUUCAAAUUUAAGAUUUCAAGUCCGAAACACAUCAAACGACGUCCGAUUUUAACCAAACUUUACAGAAACAUCUUAAAUCAUAUAUAAGACCUAUAUCGGACGCUAGAAUCAAAAUACGGGUCCGAUACCAACACAUUCUAAUCAAAUUUCAUUUCAGUUUUCCUUAACAAUUUCAGAAAAACAAUUUCCUUUAAAAAAUUCACUUCUCGGGCUCGGGACCUCGGAAUUCGAUUCCGGGCAUACGUUCGAGUCCUAUAUUUUCCUACGGAUCCUCUAGGACCGUCAAAUCACGAGUCUGGGUCCAUUUACCCAAAAUGUUGACCGAAGUUAAAUUUAUUCAUUUUAAACUCAAAACUUAGCAUUUUCACAGAAUUUCAUAUUUAAGCUUUUCGGCUACGCGUCCGGACUGCGCAUACAAAUUGAGGCGACUCUAAAUGAGGUUUUCAAGGCCUCGGAAGCACAGAAUGGAUAAGAAAACAGUUGAUGACCCUUUUGGUCGUCACGGAAACAUAGUUAUAGAACUUUUGUGCCUAUUUCUUUGUGCUGGUUAGUAUUUGGAAUUAAAAGUGUAGAUGACUUUGUUAAGAUAAAAUUUACGUCUUGAUGAAAUAUGUUCAUGUUGUUGUGUGAUUAUCAAUGGAAGUUUAUAUUUUAGUCAUUUGAGAGUUUUUGCUACUAGUCUAAAUAAAUAGCUGGAAAUAUUAUCUUUCCUAUAGUUGUGUGUUUGUCUGAUGACAAGAAGUAUGGCUGGAAUUUCAAAAAAUAAUUUGACACUAGGACGUCUUUGCAUAUUUUAAUCUUGAUAUAUUGUUUAGAAUCAAGUUCCACUCUCUAAUCCUUCUUAUCCUUGCAUAUGUUAAUUGAACUCUUAUGUUAUUUUGCUAAUUGUUUAUUUCUCUCUUCCUUUAUAUGUACACUUUGGAGCAUAAUGGAGUCUUAAUGCUAGACUCCAAUACCCGCAUAUGGAGUCCUCGGGACUCGUAAAGAUGGAGUCUAAUCACCACCAGAUAGAGUUAAUACACGACACAUAUCCUUAGAAUGUAAAGGAAAACAAGCGAAACGCUUGGGGGUGCCUAUGGCGUCCUUCUUUUUGUUCCUAUAACUUAUUUUAUCUUAAGUUUUGUAAUUGCCGAUUUACUUUUUUUGUGUUUUCUUAAUUUUUAAAAUUUUAUGUUGGAGCCUAUUAUUAACAUAGAAGAAAUAGCUGAGUCUUAUUUAAUNNNNNNNNNNNNNNNNNNNNNNNNNNNNNNNNNNNNNNNNNNNNNNNNNNNNNNNNNNNNNNNNNNNNNNNNNNNNNNNNNNNNNNNNNNNNNNNNNNNNNNNNNNNNNNNNNNNNNNNNNNNNNNAACCUAAGUUUGGCCGGUUAAUCGUAAUUAACGUAUCAUAUAGGGUGAUUUAACAACCUUCCCUAUAGGAUUAACUAGAACCCUUACCUAGAAUUUUUAAGGUUAAGCAGACCGAAAAAACAGAGUUAAUUUUAAGCAUUACUUAGCUAUAAUAGGUGUCCUAAUUCACCUUUAAAAUAAUUAGGUGGCGACUCUCUUUAAUUAAUUAAACCUCAAUUACCAAUAUGUUAUACUCUAAUUUGACCUGUGCUAAAUGGGGUAUAACAGCAUGACGACUCUGCUGGGAUGCUAGGUUCUAAACCUUAACAAACUUAGGUUAAUAAUAAAAAUUGAUUUGUGUGUUUUUAUGAUGCUUAUUUGCCUUUAUAUGAUAAACUGUUUUUUAUGAAUUGUUUAUCUGUUCUUAUUGCUUUAUAUAAAUUGUCAUUCCGUUUCACUUUCUCCACUUCUGGAAAAUUCACACAAAGCACACACCUAUCGGUUAUGUGGUUUGCAGCCGUGCACUAUUUAAAACACCUUUUAGGGGAAAGUUCGUGGGUAAGUCGAUCAGCAGUGCAAUCGAUAGCCAUGGGCAUUCCACUCUCGAGUUGUCCGCUUGGGAGAUGACCAGUCUAGCAAAACCCAUUCUUAGUCAGCCUAAGAUAGAGCUAAACCGAAACCCUUUUAAGAGCAUGCAUCAUUUGAACCUUAGGUGAUUUAAUACUCGAAAUGUAUUAAAUCCAUUAGUUAACCUUACCUAAAUGUCCAAGUGGGUUUAAACCCCCAAGUGACACUUUAUCACGUGUAUGUGCACUAUUUGAAGGGUUAACAUGCUAAUUAUGUGGACCAUUUUCUCUAAAUUAAUUAAAUCUUAGGUAAAGGAGCAUAGUCAUUAUUUCUAUGAUAUGUAUUAAAAUUUUCAAAUGACAUAAUCAGUGAGAAGUUUUGACAUAGAUGGAAAUAUAUACUUUCUUUUGAUCUUUUAUUACAAAAAAAAGGUUUAAUCAAUCAUACUUUACUAUUAUACUUUAUUUUCUUUUGAAACAUAGACUUAUUCAAUUAAUUUACAUCAAUGAGAUGAUACAUAAUGACAUAUUUAUCUUUCAAAUAUACGUUAGGCCUACCUCUGGCACAAAGAGGCCUCCCCACGUAUUAGAACGCGCUAUUAUUUGCUUUGGAAUGUGUCACAUGCUUUGCUUGCCUACUUUCUUACUUGUUUACUCUUUGUGUUGCUUGCUAGACUUUAUUAUUUUUACUAACAUUAUUUGUUGUUUUUUCAGAAAAAGGAAGUAUUAACUAUCCAACUUGUUUACAUCUUUAUUUAAAUAUAUAUUUUGUUUGUUCAUAUAUAUAUAUAUAUAUAUUCUUCUGCUUAUUUUAUAUUAUCUUCCUGAAAUUGUCUCGCUUAGCUUUUUAACAACUCUUGAGCACCAUUUAGGUAUUUACUUAAGUUCAAAUUUCUCUUAGGCCCAUUUCAUUUCCUAGAGUCUAAUUAAUAUAUCUUUUUAGUCUUUGGACAAUCUUCUAUUAUUUAUAACUCAUGACAUUUUGCCCGCAAAUUCUCUUCAACAAGCUCGGUUUGCAUGAAAUUCCUCGAUAUUCGUGCCUUAAACUAGCCUUAAGAAUUUUCUUUACAAUGAGCAUCUUACUCCCUAUAGAAAGAUAUCAUCCCUACUUCUUUUAAAAAAAAACUCGCGUAAUAUUUCAUAAUUAGAAUUUUUUUUUUCCAUCUAAUCCGUGAGUUAAUUUUAUUCGCAUUCUUUUCUUAAAAAAUAGUUACAUAUUUUUCAAAUAUUGCCACUCGUGCCUCACAGAAUAUUCAUACCUUUGAUUCUUCUCGUAGCUCUAUGUUUCAUAAAAUCUACUUACUAUUCUACAUGUUUCAACCUUUGUGCCAAUUCUCAUUUACAAAUUGGUAGAUGUCCAAACUUGCGCAAUCCACCGAACAAUAGAAGGCCACUAUUUUGGUCAAUUUGCAUCGUCAAAUUAUUCUAAAGUUUUUUACCUAUUCAAUUCAAGUUUUUGUAUCGUCUUAUUUUAGAUCGUCGAGAUUAAUCUUCACGCACCUGUUAAUUCCAAGUUUUGGCACUUGAGUCGAAGUGCUAUCCCAUAAGUCUCAAAUUGGUUGAUACCAUAUUUUAGGCCUCGACAACUUUAUGAUUUGCCAAUGCUAAAAAUAAAUUUAGAAUCAUUUCAUGUCCAAGUCUAGAUAACAAGUCAUUCUCGUCCAUCUAUUUUGCAACAUAGGCCAUCGUAUCUAGUUUAAGGCUCAUACUUAACCAUAACAUGGAUUAAUCUAUAUAAUCAUAUAUUCUAUUAUUUUUACACUUUUAUUUCAUUAUGAUGAAUACGCUAACACUUUAUUUUUGUUCGUAAGGUUUCAAUUUUUUAAAGGCUGCCUAGCACUGAACACUGUUUUGGCUACGAAUCUGCAUAAAGGACAAAACUAUAAUGGUAGACAGAUUUGAAGCAUUCAGUAUUGGUAUGAGAUCGUUGCAAGCAGAAGAUGAAGAUACCGAGGCAAAUGUGGUACGAAGAAACCUGUUGGUUAAUCUGGGAAGAACUUUCAACCUUCUUCCAAAUGCAACUUCUGCUUCUAGCUCAAACCGAAAUAUUUUCUUAACCAUAUCUCCUUGCCCAGCUCAUACUUAUGCAAUCUCUAAAUAAGUUCCAUUAACCUGCAACCCCAAUCAAGUCAUGAUAAUGCCUCCCAAAACCACAACUCCAUUUGAAGGAAGCAAGCAAAACCAACUAGUAGUAUGCCCUCAUAAGAGACGUGGAAAAGAAAUCGAGCAAAUUUGCCGUAUAGAUUUGGAUAAAGAACUUCGUGAUUUAAAUAAAGCCAUUGGAGAAGAAUUGCAAUCAAGAAAUUACCAACGUCUAUGAUAUGAAGAAUUAUGCCUGCAACCAGAUACAGAACUCCCACCAGGGUACCAGAUGCCAAAGUUUAAUACUUUCAACGGGAAGGGAAAUCCCAUCACUCAUUUAAAGGAUUAUUGUAGAAGGUUACUUGGUAUUGGGCACAAUGAGGCCAUUCGAAUGAAGUUAUUCAUCCAAAGCUUAUCAAGACCUGCACUUAUUUGGUACACAAAACAAAAUUUUAGCAAAUGGCACACGUGGGAUGAUAUGGCUCACGAUUUGUAAAGCAAUAUGAGUUCAACCUUGGAAUCUAUAUAGACAUGCAUAGCCUGUACAAAAUAGAGAAAAUGCCACGUGAAUUUUUUCAGGAUUACGCAAUCUGGUGGAGAGUUGAAGCUUCAAAAGUGCACCCUCCACUAUCCGAGAAAGAAUUAAUUUCAAUCUUCAUUGACAUUCAAAAUGACAUAUAUUAUGAAAAGCUGGCUACUGCGAACGUACGUAAUUUCUCAUACUUGAUUAGAGUCGGGGACUUCCUUGAAAGCCGCAUCAAAGAAGGAAAGGUUAGCAUGCAAACUAUCAAUCAUGCUUUAAAACUAGAGAUGCUAGAAAGCUGGAAAGGUAAAGAGAAGGAAAAUGCCUCAGUUACCAUGACUAUGCAUCAACCACAAUGCCAUCAUGAUCACCAGCUCUUGCAAAAUUAUGCCAUCUCUAAUGCCCGUAACAUGCAUCUCCAGCCUCCUCGCCAACAAAGCAUUCACCAUCAACAUCAUCAAGCACAAGUCGCUUCUCACCAAUCCAAGAAAAGGAAGCCCCGUGACUUCACACCUCUGAGUGAACCAAUCUCUAGCAUAUUCUCUCGAUUGAAUGCCUCAAGAAUUAUGCAACCAAUAAAAUUAAGGAUUUUGACCCUUUUCAUCCAUUAUUCGACCCGUCAAAGUAUUGUGCUUAUUAUUCAAAUGCUCAAAGUCAUGAUACAGAAGAAUGCCUAGCAUUAAAACAUAAGAUUCAGAAUUUAAUUGAUGCUAACAAACUGCGAGUGCACCUACCAGUUGGAACAAAUAUCUCAAAUGCAAUUAGCAGCAGCACAAGCAAUACACCGAGCGUGGUUGGGCAUCCGAAGAAAAAACGUCGUUUGGACUAGUUCACCUUGCAUUGCUGGCAUUAUCAUUUUGUAACUAUCAUAAUAUGAGUAGCUAUUUUUUUAAUCAUGCCUUGCUUUUGUAAUGAAUUACGUUUUAACCUGAUUCUCAUUUAAGAGGGGAUACGUAGACAGCCUUAUGGGUUCGGUCUCAUCAUAAUAAAAAUCCUAUUUACCCCAAAAGCCAAAAUCGGAGCAGAUGUUGCAGAAGGAUCCUCAUCAUUCGGCAAAGAAGAAAAUGAAAUCUCGAGCUACAUAUUUAUUACAAGUGCAACAGCAAAUUCCAGAAUGCCAUAGCAACAAGUUGCAGAUUCAAAGCCAAACUUUAACGUUCAAUGCAAGGCAACCACUUUAUUUUAUACUAACGAAUUUGCUUUGAGUAAUGCAGGGGCAUUUUUUAGCUAUUAUCAAACAUUACAUACUAUCGCAAAGCUCAUCAUCAAGUCAAAAGUCGCAAAGUUCAUGCAAAGCAAAGGAUGAAGCCAAGCAAGCGCAAAUCAAACUUUGAAACUUAUAAAUUUUCUUUGAGUGUAGGAAUUUAUUAAUUGCAAAGCUUCAGUAUGAAGAUCCAACGAUUGUUAGCAAUGCACCAGGAAUAUUCACUACUACAAAGGCAUUUCAUCAAGCUCUCUGCAUCGUACCAUUUGCUAUUACAAAAUCAUUGCACAAAGCUCUUUGCAUUGCACCGUCAGUAUAUGUUACUUCGAAGUAACCAUGCCAAGCUCUUUGCACGACAUUAUACAGUUACAAAUCAAGCAUCGCACCAAGCUUCUGCACCGCACUAAUGUAAAUCAAGCGCCAUGCAUCUAGGUUUUUCUACCUAAUAAUAGGACAUGAGGUCGUCCGCCUGAUUAAUAGGACAUGAGGUCGUCCGCCUGAUAAUAGGACAUGAGGUAGUCCGCCUGAUUAAUAGGACAUAAGGUAGUCCGCCUGAUAAUAGGACAUGAGGUAGUCCACCUGAUUAAUAGGAUAUUAGGUCGUCCGCCUGAUAAUAAGACAUGAGGUAGUCCGCCUGAUAAUAGGACAUGAGGUAGUCCGCCUGAUAAUAAGACAUGAGGUAGUCCGCCUGAUAAUAGGACAUGAGGUAGUCCGCAUGAUUAUAGGACAUGAGGUAGUCCACCUGAUAAUAGGAUAUUAAGGUUGUCCGCCUCAACAACAGGACACUUUAGCAUAUAUUCACAUGCUUCUCAUUAAUUUAUUUCAACCUAGAUGGUCAUGUUGUCAUUACUGAAAUGCGUUAUUAUUAUAAAUCAUUGCAAAGCACAUUUAUAAACUGCAUGUUAUUGUUGAAAAUCAUCAUUGGCAUAAAGUUAUUUUUAUCAAAUCAUUUUGGCCGACUAGGCCGCAUUGUAUAAGUAAACUCCCAAAAGGUAUCAUUUUCAUAAGAUUAUUUUACAGCACAUUGCAUUUCAAUAUCUUCUGACGAAUUUGCCUUGAAGAAAAUAUGGUGCAACAUGGCGAUCAAGAAAAGUUAUCGCAAAUUAUGUUUUGAAACUCAUAAUUUUAUUUGAGUGCAGGAAUUUACUAAUAAUAAACUUCAACAUGCAGAUUUCUAAUUUAUUGGCACCGCUCUUUAAAUAUUUUCUUCUGUAAAGGCACUGCAUCAAGCUCUCCGCACCAAGGAUAUUCGCUACUGCAUCAAGCUCUUUGCAUCGCACCCUGAAUAUUGUUAUUAUAAUUCUGGCACCUGAUCAAGCUUUAUGUACCAUAUCAAGCUCUUUGCACCGCAUCAUAUUAAUCUUUAUAAUUACAAAUCAAGCACUACAUGUCAGGCUUGUCCAUAUUCAAAUAUGACAUAUUGGGUUUAUCCGCCCACAAAUAGGAUAUAUCAGGUCCAUCCACCCUCAAAUAGGAUAUAUCGGGUCUAUCCACCCUCAAAUAGGAUAUAUCGGGUCUUUCGGCCUCAAAUAGGAUGUAUCAGGUCAAUCCUCCCUCAAAUAGGAUAUUGAAGUUAAUCCUUCCUCAAAAGGACUUUUAAUUUAUUUCGACCCGAGUGGUCCCGCUUGCAUAAGCAUUGCCAAAAUAUAUCUUUCAUAAAUCAUUUUCAAAUGCAUUUAUCUUUAUAAAUUAAUUUUCAUGUGCCGUUGCCGACCAUGAAAUAUGUCACCAUAAAAUUAUAUUUUUAUAUAUUUGCACAAUAAAUUCGCAUUUCUUACGAAUUGACGCCUAAAUAUUAUUUUCAUAAGAUUACUUUUUGGGCAUAUUGCAUCUUAUUUCCUAACGAAUUUUUUCAGCAUUGUUAAGCUUUGCAGGAAAUAUAGCGCAACGUGAAAUUAUAUCUUAGCAGUGAACUGGGACAAUUUGUUGGAGAGGAAUACCAAACUCUCCAACAAAGGUCAAGGAUCUACUUCGAACUCCGUUCGGCUCGACUGUCAAAAUUCAUAAUUAAAUUCUUAUUUCAAACAUCUUUCUUUCAAUCAUGGUACCCAAUAUCUCUAUUAUUCGACACUGGGGUAACAUUUUUAGAUCUACAUCAAUAGUCGAGUCCUACUCUAGGGUGCCAUAAGUCUUGAACUACAUAUGACCUAAUUCUCGUGAAACGCGAGAUAUGUAGGCAACUCGGAACCGAAGUUCGACCGCAAUCAUUUUUUUUACGUCUCCUUUGUCCCAUUCCAACCUUGAUGGUCGUAACAAAAUUGGCUACUAAGUCAAUAUUCUUUGCUCGAACACUCUUUGAUCGUCUCAGGUCAAAGAGGGGCAGAUGUUGACAUCCAAUUUUGUCCCUCCUUCCUUCCAAAUUAUUUCUUUAAGCUUCUAAUAUCACUAAUAAUAUAAGGUAGUUAUUCUACUAUAUUAUUUACACAAACUAUGCCUAUUUGUUAUUAUUAUUAAAACUAUUAUAGCUAUUAAUAAUAAUAAUAAUAAUAAUAAUAAUAAUAAUAAUAAUAAUAAUAAUAAUAAUAAUAAUAAUAAUAAUAAUAAUAAUAAUAAUAAUAAUAAUUCUAUAGCUAUCGUCUUUAUCAUUCAUACCUUAAUCGUAUUUAUUGUUACAUUUCACGAAAAGCAUUUUUAUUUCAUUUAUAUCACUAGUGAAAAUAUUUUUUGCAAUAACUUUUAAUUAUUAUGAAGUUAUAUUUAAUAAAUAUGGUAGUAUCUUACGAUUAAUAUUUUAUUUAAACAUGAGUAAUUGCGAAUAGGUAUAAUAAAUAAGUUAGUUAUUUUUUUUAUAAUAUUAUUGUUGACUAUUAGAAGCCCAAAGAAUUUGGAAGGAAGAAAGGAAAUUGGCCUAGUUAAUAGUCCAAUAUUUUCUACUAAUUCUACAGGACCAAAUUACUCCAAAUGAUCCACCAAUUCUAUCCAAUCUGCUGAAUGAUCAAAUGACCAACUCUUUGGUUCUAGAUUAUUUUUUUAGCGCAAAUUACUUUUGUACCCCUAUUCAGAUAUAGCCAAAAGAAUAGCCCCUCUCUCUUUUCACGUGUAAAGCUAUCUCUUUCCUCAUAAAAACUUUUUGACUUUCCAAAUCACAUUGCCGUCUUUUCAAUUAACAUUAUAUAUUGCCUACUUUGAAUUUCUAUUGCAGAUAUUAUGUCACACCAUUUGGUGAAGCUUCGGUAGAACGGUAGCACUACCGUUUCAAUUUUUUUUUGAAAUUCAAAAUCACUAAAGUAUAUCUCUUUUGGAUUUCAAAUUUUCAUUUAAUUACAAUGAAUUCUCGCCUCAAAUCUAGUGCCAAGAAGUCUAAAUUGGAAUCUUUUCUCUCUUUGCUCACAUGGAGUUUCUCCAUUUUUUCUUUUUCUUGCUGCACAACAUCCCAACCAUUUUGGGUAUUAAUUUGAAACAAAUCUGCUCAAAGUCUCAAGCAAAUCUGAAACAAAUUUACUCAAAUAUCGCUCAUUAAAUUAUGAACGUAUUUUACUGUUCGAAACCUCACGCUCUUAAUUUCAAACGUUAGAGGUAAAAAUCCCGCCCAUGAACCCUACUUCUUCACCUAUAAAUACUUGCAUUUGAAAUAUACUGGAAAAAGAGCUUUUGGAGCUGUUGCACCUCUCUUUAAACCCACAAGCUUCGGCCCCCUUCUUUAACCUUAAGCCCUAGAGCCGCCCACUUUCACCCUAAAGUCGAGAGUUUUCAGCCACCUCUGUUAGUGCAUUUCCUUUCCUCUAAUUAAAAAACAAAGUUCUCUAGCUCUCUUUGUAUUUUUAGCCAUUACAAUGGUUUAUUUGCUUAUUCCGGUGACUAACAAUCGUCUAAGGUAGCGAGUUCGAGGUCGGAGUUCGAUAUUGCAUCUAAGACCCGUCUCAGUUUGCUGUCUUGUAAAAGGUUCGUAUCUUCUCCUAUCACUCUCGUUUUGAUUCUGUUUUUUUGAUGUCUGAUGCGUGUUUGUUGCGAGGAUUGUUAGCUUCUAUUAAGCUUUUAUGUACAUGUUUGUUUAAGGGAAUGAUCUGUGACUAAAGUUGUUAGCAGUAAUCCUGUAAGGAGAUUAUGUUCUGGUGUGUAUUGUUAAAAGCAUGCCCGACAUAUAUUUGAUGAAAUGCUCACAUGAAAAUACUUUUUUCCUUUUGCAUACUUCUCUAUUAGAUGCCAUAAUUUUAAGAAGGAUUUUAUCAUGAGCUAGUUGCCCUGCAAUAGAUUUAUUUGCCAUUGUGAUUCAAGACCUUUUUCCUAAAUAUCGUGUUUAAAAUUUCAAAAAAUUUGUUUAAGAAUAGAUUUAUUUAAAUGCACACUGUUAAGAGAAGACUUGAUUUACUUUAGUAUUAGGUAUCCAAAAUUCUUUCUUUAGGAAACAUAGUUAUAGAACUUUUGUGCCUAUUUCUUUGUACUAGUUAGUAUUUGGAUUUAAAAAUGUCGAUGACUUUGUUAAAAUAAAAUUUACGUCUUGAUGAAAUGUGUUCAUGUUGCUGUGUGAUUAUCACUGGAAGUUUAUAUUUUUGUCAUUUGAGAGUUUUUGCUACUAGUCUAAAUAAAUAGCUGGAAAUAUUUAUCUUUCCUAUAGUUGUGUGUUUGUCUAAUGACAAGAAGUAUGGCUAGAAUUUCAUAAAACAAUUUGACACUAGGACGGCUUUGCAUAUUUUAUUCUUGAUAUAUUGUUAAGAAUCAAGUUCCACUCUCUAAUCCUUCUUAUCCUUGCAUAUGUUAAUUGAACUCGUACGUUAUUUUGCUAAUUUUUUAUUUCUCUCUUCCUUUACAAGUACACUUUGAAGCAUAAUGGAGUCUUAAUGCUAGACUCCAAUACCCGCAUAUGGAGUCUUCGAGACUCGUAAAGAUGGAGUCUCAUCACCACCAGAUAGAGUCAAUACACGACAUAUAUCCUUAGAAUGUACUGGAUAGCAGAAAAACAAGCGAAACGCUUGGGGGCGCCUAUGACGUCCUUCUUUUUGUUCCUACCACUUAUUUUAUCUUAAUAUUUGUAAUUUUCGAUUUGCUUUUUUUGUGUUUUCUUAAUUUUUAAAAUUUUAUGUUGGAGCCUAUUAUUAUUAUAUAAGAAAUAGCUGAGUUUUAUUUAAUCACUUAGUAUUCUCACCUUAUUUAUGAGUAUCGUACUUAUUUUAUCACUAGGAAUACCACGCCUAUUUUAAGGACUAUUUAAAAUAAUAGCUUAAUUAAUAACAUUUUACUAUACUAAUGUUUUCUUAUAAGGUACUUAAUUUUGGAGAUAGCAUCUUAAACCAGGGACGUUCUUGAAAUUCCACUCUUAUACUUUCUUUAACACCUAUAAGUUUAGAUUUAAAAACUUGUUAGCAGCAAAUGACUUCUUUGUAAAACUUGUUUUCGAAAGGUAAUUUCGACCGUUUUCCNNNNNNNNNNNNNNNNNNNNNNNNNNNNNNNNNNNNNNNNNNNNNNNNNNNNNNNNNNNNNNNNNNNNNNNNNNNNNNNNNNNNNNNNNNNNNNNNNNNNNNNNNNNNNNNNNNNNNNNNNNNNNNNNNNNNNNNNNNNNNNNNNNNNNNNNNNNNNNNNNNNNNNNNNNNNNNNNNNNNNNNNNNNNNNNNNNNNNNNNNNNNNNNNNNGGUGCUUUAACAACCUUCCCUAUAGGAUUAACUAGAACCCUUACCUAAAAUUUUUAAGGUUAAGCAGACCAUAAAAACAGAGUUAAUUUUAAGCAUUACUUAGCUAUAAUAGGUGUUCUAAUUCACCUUUAAAAUAAUUAGGUGGCGAUUCUCUUUAAUUAAUUAAACCUCAAUUACCAAUAUGUUAUACUUUAAUUUGACCCGUGUUAAAAUGAGGUAUAACAUCAUGCAUACAGGGAAGUAGACCAUGCGACCAACAUAUUGUGAGACCUAAGUGUUAUACAUCUGUUAGGAGUAUAUAACAUCUUGUCAAGUACAAACCUACAAGUAGAUCAUAAAGUAUACAGUACAACUAGAUCAUAUGAAUCACAUUUGAUAUAAUCUCAAAAUCUCAUAUAUCAUUAUUUCUUGUAUUCACAAUCUUGACUCAUAAUUUAUAUCUAGUGCACCAGUGAACACAAAUAAAUGAAAUUCCAUCAAUAAUCUUCCUCUUCUCAUAAUCCCUUCAACAUUAGUUUGACUGCUUUUCUAGAUAUUCUCCCUUAGACCAAAACUGUGUUCAGGUUCCUUUGGAAACUCACUAAGAUAGCUUAUAUCACACUAAGUCUCAAGUAUCUAAUUAGAGUCCUUGAGGGUAAAAAUCUUGAGCCUUCAUAAAAGCUCUAGGUCUCACACAACAAUUAGUUGCGAGUGGACUUAUAUUAACCCAAUUAGUCAAUAUUAGCACACAUGGUAUAAAACACGUGCUAUAGCAUUUUCUCCCUUUUUCCAAAGAGCUUAUGUGUUUAUCUGAUAAAGAAUUUGUACAAGUGAUAUUUGGACACUAUAAGUAUCUAAAUUUGAGUUUCUUAAUCUAAAAUAUCAUAUUUAACUCAUAUCUGGCUCACAGAGUAGACUAGGUGAACAUUUUUCACCCUAAUGACCUUAUGUCAUUGUUUAAGUAACAUUCUGAUUUUAAGUGAAUAGCUCUCAAAUUAUCCUUUUGAUAAUUUUUCUUAAAUUCAUGUCUCAUCUCCUCACAUCACUAAUAUAAGGAGGUGGUUGCCUGUGUGAAAGGCCAACCUCUUUUCUACCUAACAUACUUAUAAAAAAAUGUAGGAACAAAGAAUGCACAUAACAUUCAACAAUAUAAAUAUGUAUGUAUGAAAAUAAGCUUUACUGAUAAUCAAAGAAUAUCAGUUUUGUGAACACGGGAAAAUAAAUAAUGAAAUAAAGUAACGCAGAGUCUACGCAAGCCUUGAGACCUAAUAUGUCUCGAUCUCUAGACAAAGGCUUGGUCAAUAGAUCUACUAACAUAUUUUUUUGUAGACACAUACUUCACAUUCACUACCUUGCGUCUAACCAUGUCUUUCGCAUAUUUAUGUGUUUGGUUUUAUAAUGAAACUUAGGGUCCUUGGUAGAGGUUAUUGCAGCUUCAUUGAUAUAGUAGACUUACACUUGUUCAAUAUUUCUUACAAUAUCCAACAAGUGUUCCAAGAACAUUUUCAACCAAAAAACUUAUUAUGCUGCUGAUGCGAGAGCCACUUAUUCAGCUUCCUUUGUAGAUAGUGAUACAUGUACGCGUUGAAAUUAGAGGAUUUGAUUUCUCUCUCUCAAGUCAUUUCGCAAGAAUACCUCGAGACCCCAAGGAUAGGAAGCCACGGUCGAGUUCCCGACCUCGGGGAUCAUCGAGGCCCGACUCAAAAAGACAGAUAUCGAAGCCAGGACAGAGGGGGAAGCUCCCAAGGCACACGGUUGAGUCUGACAGGGGCGGCCUAACCAGAGCCUAUGCUGAGGCAUCGCAUCAAGCCAUCCCAUCUCCAAACUUUGUAAUUAAUGCCCACGUACUCGUAGCUGAGUUCCCCUCCUAUAUAAAGGGGACUCACCCUACUUUGUAAAGGGCUGAUGUUGCUCCAUUUUCUCCACAAAUGCAAUAAUAUCUCUCUCUUUCUUCUUUCUAACUUGCUUGUUCUCACUGGCCCGAUGCCACCUUAUAUCUAUCGUUCUCUUACUUGCUCUUCCUUAUAUAGCUCAGUAUUGGCUGUAAAUAGCCUUGUUUGAUUAUAUACUUAGUUGUUAUCCCAUUUCCGAUUAUCCUCGAUAGCUCGAACUCGACUCUGAGGUCCCCCAUCGACCAGACUUACACCC
rnacentral:lncRNA from 1 species